rnacentral:rRNA from 1 species
GGGGACGAUUUUCGGAUUUAUUGGGUUUAAGGGUCCGUAGGCGGAUGCGUAAGUCAGUGGUGAAAUCUCACAGCUUAACUGUGAAACUGCCAUUGAUACUGCGUGUCUUGAGUAAGGUAGAAGUGGCUGGAAUAAGUAGUGUAGCGGUGAAAUGCAUAGAUAUUACUUAGAACACCAAUUGCGAAGGCAGGUCACUAUGUCUUAACUGACGCUGAUGGACGAAAGCGUGGGGAGCGAACAGGAUUAGAUACCCUGGUAGUCCACGCCGUAAACGAUGCUAACUCGUUUUUGGGCUUUCGGGUUCAGAGACUAAGCGAAAGUGAUAAGUUAGCCACCUGGGGAGUACGUUCGCAAGAAUGAAACUCAAAGGAAUUGACGGGGGCCCGCACAAGCGGUGGAUUAUGUGGUUUAAUUCGAUGAUACGCGAGGAACCUUACCAAGGCUUAAAUGGGAAUUGACAGACGCAGAAAUGUGUUUUUCUUCGGACAAUUUUCAAGGUGCUGCAUGGUUGUCGUCAGCUCGUGCCGUGAGGUGUUAGGUUAAGUCCUGCAACGAGCGCAACCCCUGUUACUAGUUGCUACCAUUAAGUUGAGGACUCUAGUAAGACUGCCUACGCAAGUAGAGAGGAAGGUGGGGAUGACGUCAAAUCAUCACGGCCCUUACGCCUUGGGCCACACACGUAAUACAAUGGCCGGUACAG